AGCGAACGCUGGCGGCAGGCCUAACACAUGCAAGUCGAACGAACCCUUCGGGGUUAGUGGCGGACGGGUGAGUAACACGUGGGAACGUGCCUUUAGGUUCGGAAUAACUCAGGGAAGCUUGUGCUAAUACCGAAUGUGCCCUUCGGGGGAAAGAUUUAUCGCCUUUAGAGCGGCCCGCGUCUGAUUAGCUAGUUGGUGAGGUAAUGGCUCACCAAGGCUACGAUCAGUAGCUGGUCUGAGAGGAUGACCAGCCACAUUGGGACUGAGACACGGCCCAAACUCCUACGGGAGGCAGCAGUGGGGAAUCUUGCGCAAUGGGCGAAAGCCUGACGCAGCCAUGCCGCGUGGAUGGUGAAGGUCUUAGGAUUGUAAAAUCCUUUCACCGGUGAAGAUAAUGACUGUAGCCGGAGAAGAAGCCCCGGCUAACUUCGUGCCAGCAGCCGCCGUAAUAC
rnacentral:rRNA from 1 species